GGCCCUUACUCCUACGGGAGGCAGCAGUGGGGAAUAUUGGACAAUGGACCAAAGUCUGAUCCAGCAAUUCUGUGUGCACGAUGAAGUUUUUCGGAAUGUAAAGUGCUUUCAGUUGGGAAGAAGAAAGUGACGGUACCAACAGAAGAAGCGACGGCUAAAUACGUGCCAGCAGCCGCGGUAAUACGUAUGUCGCAAGCGUUAUCCGGAUUUAUUGGGCGUAAAGCGUGUCUAGGCGGUUUGGUAAGUCUGAUGUGAAAAUGCGGGGCUCAACUCCGUAUUGCGUUGGAAACUGCCAAACUAGAGUACUGGAGAGGUAGGCGGAACUACAAGUGUAGAGGUGAAAUUCGUAGAUAUUUGUAGGAAUGCCGAUGGGGAAGCCAGCCUACUGGACAGAUACUGACGCUAAAGCGCGAAAGC
rnacentral:rRNA from 1 species